ACCAAUAGAAGUCACAUUCAGAUUGCAACCAGAGAACCCUAAGCCCUUCUUCUUCUUCCAACCUCCUCCAGAUUGCAAUCCGCUCCGUCGACUCAGACCGUUCUGGAUGCCGCCGUGAUGAUCGCUAUCUCUUAAGGUAAGUUAUCUUCCUUUAUUAUCGUGCUUAAAUUUCAUCGUGACCCACUUCGUCGUCCGAUUCAGUAACAUUUCGCCGUCGCCGUCAUUGAAUCGACUACUUUUCUAAUAUCUUUUCAUUUUCUGAAAUCGAUUUUUACUGAAAUCGAGUCUUACUGAAAAAUCCCCAAUUUGUAUUGAAAACCCUAACCAUUUUCACUGAAUGGAGUCUUACUGAAAAAGCCCCAAGUCUUACUGAUAAAUCUUACAUAAUGUUGUAAUUAAUAGUGUUAUAGUGAAACAAAAACACAAUAGAGUACUCGUGGAGUUACACUAACAUUUAUUUGGUUGGGAUUCAUAAGGCUGCUGAAUUCAUUGUUUAUAAGCUCACUUAACUCUUGCUUAAUCAUCUUAAUAAUACCAACACAUUUUACAAAUCUAGUUGUUAUUUAAUAAGGAAAUGUACACUGAAGUUUUAUUUAUUUACAUCAAGAGAGUAUGAAAUAUGGUAG
rnacentral:lncRNA from 1 species